UGGCCAAGGUGACAUUUGCUUAGUG
rnacentral:piRNA from 1 species